GGAUGUGAGGGCAAUCUGGCUGUGACAUCUGUCACACCAUUCAUUGAUUCAGCUAAUCUGGCUGGCUAGGCGGGUGUCCCCUUCAUUCCCCCACCUCUCCAUGUGUGUCCCUCUGGAAGCUGCGCUCUCGGUGGAAGAGGAUGGGCUUCCCAGGAUAGAGACGUACUAGUCUUCGGUAGAGGGUAUAUGGAGUAGCUAGCGUUCCCCUGCUAGAACCUCCAAACAAGCUUCUCUUACAACUGUCGUUUGUACCAAUGAUGAAUCAAAAUUAUCUGUAAGAGAAAAGAAUAUAUUUUCUAUACUAAAAAGACAGUAAAAACAAAGUUGUGU
rnacentral:snRNA from 1 species